GUGAUCUUCAGCAACCACGUAAUGUCUCUGUGACUGUGUCCUCACCUGUAAAAGGGAGCAAUUAGUGUUUUUGCUGCAGGGAUGUUGUCAGGGUAAGAGAAAAUAGUUGCAAAGCAUAUGUUUGGUGCUUAAUAAAUGGCAAGGAAUGUUCUUAUGACUGUAAGGAGCUCAGAUGCAAAGUGCAAUGGUGCUGAAAAAGAGAAACCAAUUAACCCAUAAAGAACACAUACAUAGAAGUAAAACCAAAAAGACAAAACUAACUUGCAGAAGCUGUAGAUGUGUUUUGGGAAGGAGUAAUUGUUUACCCAAAGCAUCUUAAGUGCAUUUUGUUUUGGGAAGAAGGGAGCCACGUCCAGCAAAGGGGCCUGAGAGACCGCAGGCCUGAGUCCCGGUCUGGUUUCCUCUAUGGGUUGUGUCACCUUGAACAAGUCAUUUAAAUUUAAAGUAAGGAGACUGAGUGAGUCUUUCAGAUUCCUUCCAGAUCUGUGAUAAUGAAGGCCUGGGAAUAGGAAUAGUGGGGGUUUGGAUUCAGAUACAAAGAAAUAUCCUAUUUUGAGUCCCAAGUCUUUGAUGCUGUUUCUUGCUAUAAAAUUGUGUAAAAAUAAGUAUUUUGUCAGGAUUAUUGAGAAGAAUAGCAUAUUAGCGUAUUAAGGAGACUCACAGUGUGAUAAGUGUUCUGUCAUUUCCCUUCUCUUUUACUCAGUCACGUUGUAGGUCAAGCACACAUCUCAAGCUGUGCAGUCACAGAUAGGAAGUAGGCUUUCCGGAGACAGAGGCUGAUGAUGAAGACUUUAUGUUUCUGUAAGACUUUACCUGCUCUGAGAGAGCUCCCUGCUUAGCUUCUGUGGAAAUUCACCACCCUGUUUAUCUGUUCCAGAAGUCCUUCUACUAGGCUACACCUUGAUUAGACAUCCAAGGUUAGGCAUUGCCUGUAGAAUGUCAUGUCAUCGAAAGAGGGUAGAGAGUUCUAAGGUGUUUAUGCAUAUAUAUAUCUGUAUAUAUUACCAUUUAGUCCAACCUAGGGUAGUAUACAUUAAGUAGCUAUUUCCUGGGAAAAGGCAGAAACAUUUAGCCAUAUAAUGCAUAGCAGUGGGCACAGAAUUAGCCAGACAUGGGUUUAAAUCAGGCGCCCUUCAUUUUGUAAUUCUGUACCAUUUAUGCUCUCAAAGACCCAGUUUCCUCAUCUGUAGUGUGGGGCUAGUAACAGCACCCACCACAUAAGCACUAUUGUAGGCAUUAAAUGAGAUAUUUGUGAUAUGCUCUGCAUGAUACUUAGCACAAAAUAAGUCCUUAGUAUGCAGAGAUACAAGAUCAUUUCAAUACAUACGUUUGUCGAUGAAGAAGUGAGGCCCAGGGGAACUGGGUGACCCACCUAUGCUGCUGUAUAAAGGGAAAAAUAGACUCAUAGUCCGCUGAUACUCGAGGUCUAUGUUUUUGAGGAUUUUUUUCUAUUUGCAAUGCUUACUACCUGGAAACCUUGAAUAAUAAAGAAAUGAAACUGCUUUUGAAGGUAUUUGUUUAUCAAAGAGGAGUUAGAUUACCAGCACUUUCUUCUCACACAAUCUGGCUUCUGUCCCCUGAUGCUUCUGGUGUGUUAUUACACUUCUUAGAAGUUGGGUCCUAAUUCUGGGUUGUAGUAAAAUGUUGAUAGAAAUUGAACUUGAAGCCUUUCAAAUCAAACUUCACAUACCUUAUCUGUAGAGGAGAUGUGAGGUUACAAUCCAGAGACCACCCAAGCAUACCAAUAGGUAGCAGAAUGACUUCACCUUUUAAUAGAAAAUAAUCCAUUUCUGAGAAACCAUCAUGGCAAUUUUGUACAAUUGAACUUCGUCUUUAACCUUUUACUAUGAUUGAUGUGAUUAGGCCACUGGAGGAAGUGGUUCUCAACAGCAUGAUUAAAACACUUUGAGGAAAUAAUUUCUGUCUUGAAGCACCUUGCAUGCAUUCUUUUUUCAAGUGUUUGUCCUUUCUCAUCAAAAGAAGAGCCAGGAAAUGGAGAAAUAUUGACUUUUAAACGUUGUCUUAGACAGAAACGAAAAUCAUAAAACAGCAGGGUCAGCAUCAGGGUGCUGUCUUCAGCAGUCCUGGGCAGCAGGCUUUCUUGGAUGAUGAACACUGGGUCUGAGGGCACACUAUUUCAGCAUUUCCCAGAUUUGAGAAUUUUACCCACUUACCCGAUUUUUCUUUCCCUAAAGUUAGGAAAUUUGCCAAUUUUGAAAUCUAUUAAGGACUUAUUUAAAACAACAGCAAUACAUGACUGCCAUCUACUAUGAACCAAUUUUACUGAAAAAAAAUCAUGUUUUAAUAAAAUAGUAGGAAGGAUAUAAUUUUAUAAUAAUGAACAAUCUUGUCAAGAAAUGGCAGUCGUUGCAUGGUUCUUUGGGUUUCUCAUUUUGCUCUGUUUGGAAUGACCUGCUCAAAUUCAGUUUGGACUAAUUAUAAGUGAAAAAUGUUUCAUUCUGCUUCUGUAUUUGCUUAGACAAUGUCCAGAGGUUCCCAAAUAGACUUCAAAAUCAAUGGAAUUUAUAGGUAAUGUAUGUAGGUACAGCUAAACAUAAUGACAUUAACAGAUCUGAAGAUUCCAAAUCAUCACUAUGAACUCUACCUGUACUAUACCAUUUUCUUUUUGGUUACAAGGUCUUGUUCCAAUGGCUCACAAAUGCUUAUAUCUCAGCAAAAAUGAGAAGUGGUAUAUUCUUUCUAGAAAGAGUAGGUUGGCAGGUGACCUAUCUGAGUUCAUGGACUCACUGAGUAGUGAUUAACAUUUAAAAUGUAUGCAAAGUAGACUCCUAAUUAAAGUCCAAUAAUGUAAGGCUUUGAACCUAUUCACUGCUUUUGGAAAUAAUCCUAGAUGUGGGUUGCUCAUCAUGAAAAAGUCAUUAUGGUAAAUGACCAACUCCCCCACCUUUCCAUCAACUGCAAAAGUGAUUCUCCAUUGCAGAUUUGCAAGUAGUGCAUGUUGCACAAAUGUGUCCUGGUAGCUGUAAUUGUUAUGCAAAUUAUCUUGAUUAGAAGAAAAAAUAACAUUUACAGGGCUCCUAUCCUAUGUGAAUUUGCAAGCAUGUACCAAAUUCAGGUGUUGACUUGAGAGAUCAUCAAUAACUCACAGUGGCGGUGAUAAAGAAGGAAGGACCAUUCUUCCUCCCAUCUCUAUUCCUGCCUUGUUUUACUGACUCUUUGUGGGAGGAUGGAUAUGCAACACAGUGAGGCAAUCAGAAAAAAGUAAUGAAAUGCAAAAAAGGUCAGAAGAUAAAAAUAUUCAUGAACCAGAUGUUAGUGGCAGAUAGAAAAAUUACUGCCAAUUUAUUUGCCAAAGAUAGACAAUUCAGGUGACAAAGAUAUCAGUACAGAAAAAAUUGAAGCUGAGGACCAACAUUUAUUGUACAUUUGAUAUGUGCCACAGAAUCUAGUAGAUAUGCCGCACAUGUUCCGACUGACCUCUAUGAGAGUCUGAUGAAACAGGUAGUGUUGGUUUAUAGAUGAGGAACCUGAGACUCAGAGCACUUGCUGACCAUCCAUAAAGGUCUAAUAUCUCAGAGUUAAACUUCAGUUCUAAAUAUAAUUUGAAUAUUCAUGGCCUUUCUCACCUUCAAGUUGCCUCCCAGAAUUACUCACUUGGAAAUGAACUUCUAGGACAUAUGGUUCCAGAUCUGUGGCUUCCCUACCUCAUUCACCUGGAUGUCAAUGCCACAGAGCCCAUGUGACUGUGAUAGCUAUUUCCUGUGCAAGUAGUGCAAGAAUGGAAUGUAUAAAGGGCUUGGGGCAGCUGUUCAGUGUUGCUCAUCAAGAUGUCUCGCCAUUUUCCAUGUGAUAGGUCUGGAGUAAGUAAUUUAAUGUUUGCUUGCAGGAAGCGAAUAUUGAAAUAUAGUCAGCAGAUGACGUUCACUUUCACCUUUGGUAAAUCAUCCAUCUGAUGACAACAUUUAAGGAAUUCAGGUUAUUUCUUUGAAGAAUUAUGAGCAGAAAGUGAUUAUGAGCUAUGAGAGAAGGAAGUAUCUACUCUUGUCCUGUCUCUGGGCUAGUAGACUUUCUCAAAGGUUUGUGAGGCUCAGGACAUGAGUACAGAUAGAAGCCUAGAUACCACAUGUCUAAAUAUUUCCAAUUGCCGAUUAAAAUAGCAAACUGUUAAAUACCUCUCUCGUUGCAAUUUACAAAGUUUUUUUUAGUGACAAUGAAUAUCUGGUUUGAAUUUAGACUUCCUGAACUCCAUUGCUCUCUGCUCUGUAAUGGGGGGAGUAUAAGGAGAGGAGGCCCCAAGUGUGGACUGCGGUUCACUGCUCCUGUCUUCUCACCCUCACAUAUCCUGCUUUACAAGAGGACUCGGAGGCACACAUGGAAUCAGGCCAGGCUAGCUCAUACAUCCAAACGGCAUCCUGAAGUCCACAAAUACCUCCCCUCUGUCUCUCCACCCUUCAGGUCCAGGGAUGGGACCCUGAGAUGCAGUUGUGUGAUGGGGACAGAGCUGGGGAAGAAGGUCACACUGAUCCUAGAAGCAGUUCAGGGGCAGUUGCAGGGCAUCUGGAACUCAGAGGUUGUCUGGGGGAGGCAUGGGGUCCGGGUGGGCAUGUCUUCUCUGGCACUUCUCACCCCAGGGGAAGACAUGUGGUUGGAGGGAACCCUGGAGUAGUGGCUUGUAAGCAUUGGGACCUAGGGCGGGCCCCUCUUGCUGGUCUAAGAAUGGAGACUUGUUCAUAGGAGAUGGUCGAGAAGGGCAGGCUGGAAGCAGAUGAGAGAGCAGUCUUCUGUAGUCAAUACCUAAAUAUAUAAAUAAAUAAAUAUACAUGCAUAUAUAUGGUAUGAAUUCAUCAAUAUUCAAAUAUUUUAAAUUAUUAUUGUAUCAGUGACUUUGUAAUGAUAAUUCCAGAGCUAGAGCAACAUCAUAAUUCUGUUAACAAUGAACUUAAUAUUUUCUGUUCUUCUCUGUCUUUUUCCAAGUACAUACACAUACAAAUUUUUUCAAUUACAUUUUUGUUUUAUGAUAAUUAGGAGAUUCCCAUGCAGUUGUAAGAAGACAUAUAAUUUUUAGGUAUAUAAGUGUAAUUUUCUUUUUUUAACAAAGAGAAUGUAUACAUAUUUUCUUAUUGUAAAAGCAAUGCUUCUCCAUCAGAGAACUUGGAAACAUGCCCAAGUACACAUGCAUGCCCUCCACAAGUGUCCUGUGGUUUCUCCUCUGGGGUGACUUGGCGGAGAGAUUGUUCAGAGGUUCUUGUAGCUCUCUCUACAGUGAUGUUUCCCUUUCUGGAUGGUGUAAUCUAUGUAAGAUAACAUUUCUAUUAUCUAGUCAAGAUUAUAAGUUUCUGACUUCAUUUUUGCUUUUUUUUAAAGGUUUGUUUAUUUGAAAGGUAGAGUUGCGCAUAGAGGAGGAGAGUCAGGGAAAGGUCUCCCAUCUGCUGGUUCACUCCCCAAAUGGCUGCAACGGCCGGAGAUGGGCAGGUCCAAAGCCAGGAGCCAGGAGCUUCUUCUGGGUCUCUCACAUGGGUGCAGGGGCCCAAUAACUCGGGCCAUCUUCUGGUGCUUUCCCAAGAGCAUUAGGGAGCUGGAUGGAAGUGGAGCAGCUACAACUUGAACUUGUGCCCAAAUGGGGAUGCUGGCACAGUAGGUGGUGUCUUUACCCACCACGCCACAGCGCCUGGCCCCAUCUGUUGCUGUUUUUCUGCCUCUUCCCUAUACUGAUCUCUCAGUGAUCUCACUGCUCUAUUUUGGGGGAAAAAAAAAGGAAUAAAAGAUUUACUCCUUUGGUAUGUGUCAUGGAACCUGACACUAUCAUACUAAUAUUUUAAUAGGUCUAAUAGUAUUCUAAAAGGUCCAGACAAGUAAAGAUGUGACAAGAUGUGUGUGAGGGAUUGAGGAUCCUGCAGUUCUAUUUUGUCAUUACUUUAUUUUAGAAAAUAGUUAAUGACUGCUCUGAAUGGUAGCUGGAUUGAUGCAUGGCUAAGGAGAACUCCAUUUAGCACAACAUGUAGGAUUCCAGACUAUGGAGCUCAGUCUUAUAACAUGUAAGAUUCCAGACUACGGUUGGGAUUUCUAGAUCUGCCACUUUGCAGUUGGAUGAGUGUGGUUGACUGAGAAAUGGGUCCCCAAGGAAUAUCCAUGUUCUAAUCCCUGGAACCUGUAAAUGUUACCUUAUAUGGAAAAAGCAUCUUUGCAACAUGGUUCAGUUAAAGAUUUUGAGAUAGGGAGACUAUUCUGGAUUCUCGGGGUGGACCCUAAAUGUAAUUACAUGUACCUUUUAAAGUGGGAGUGAGAAGGAAAUAUGACAAACACAUAUAUACACACAGAGAAGGCAGUGCGAUGACAGGACAAAUUUGAGUGAUACAGCCACCAGUGAGAGGCAUGCGAUAGAUUCUCUCCUGGAGCCCCUAGAAAGAGUGUGGCCUGCUGAUGUCCUGAUUUCAGCCCAUUGAUAUUGAUUUUGGACUUGUGGCCUCCAGAACUGAGCGCAUGCAUUUCUAUUAUUUUAAAUCAUGAGGUUUGUGCUAAUUUGUUAUGGUGGCUGCAAGAAAGGAAUGCAGUGACUUGUAGGCAGGUCUAGUCCUUCACUUUGGCUCUACUUCCUCAGCUAUCAAAGUAAAUAAUAAUAAUAGUAUCCACUCUUUAGGAUUCUUAAAAGACUAAAAUUAUGUUUAUGUAAUGUAUGAUGUAAGAGAAUAUAUAUAUGUAAAUGACUUUAAUCUUAAUAACAAAUAUUUUAUAUAUAAUGCAUAUUCAUUAUAUAUGUAAGUUUCUCUUGAACGUGCUAUACACGCACAUGCACAUGUGUGCACACACCCCUAAAGGCAGAAGAUCCUAAGGCUCCAGGGAGUGGGAAGUGCCAAAGCUGGAGGAAACUUAGGUCUCUAAAUCACCAUGUGGUGACUGGGAGCACCUGUGUGGAACUGACCUGUGAAUAAAUAGGGGUUUAUGUUUCUCUACUGAAGUGAGCUGUUAAUUUGGUGGCUUGUUACAGUAGUUAGUAUUAUGCUAGCAAAUAGUACAGAGUUCUUCAUACUUCUACCAAGUAGCUUUUCCAAACCUUCUAUCUUAUUUGUAGAAGAGUCUGUCAGGGAAAAAACUGUUGAUGCAUGUAUCCAACAAUUUUAAUCAUGAUGCUAUUGGAAGAAAAUGAGCACAGAAUCCAUAAAGGUCAUUUUCAAAGAGUCACUUUUCUGAUUCCAGUUGCAUUCUAAUUAAUAUCAUGGCGUGUUAGCAAACUAAGUAAGGAGCAAUUAUUAGCUAUCAGAUUCUAGGUUUGGGAGAGAAAUGAUGGUAUAUUAUGCAUAAUUUUUGCAUCAUUAAAAAUUAAAUCCCAUAAGCAUAAUGAUUCAAACAUCAGGCUUUGGCAGUGUCUGCAGAUGAUAAACUAUGGUAUGUAAGGAAACAAUUUACUAGGUAAUGGUGCAAUAUUUUCUGAAGUUAGACAGAAUCUACCCCCCCCAAGGAAAAAUGCUAUGUUGUACCGAAUUAUUUCUAGUCAGAGCUUAUUAGAGGAAUAAGAAUAGUUAUUUAAUGCUUUUUUUCUAUAUUCAAAUCCAUAGAUGUGUAGGAUGAGUUUUCGUAAAGAAAACUUUCAUAACUUCCCUAUUUUAUAGAAGGUAAUUUAACAAAAAGAGCAAGGAUUUCAUUGUCUAAUGGACUCAUGUUCAGAGUCUUAGGUCAGUGACCAUUCUGUGAAGUUUCAAAUAUCUUAAGCUCAUACAUUUUCUGUUUCACCACCUGUCAAAAUGAGAUACUCCAUCUUACCUCAUAGAGUUUUUAUGCAGAUGAAGUGUGAUAACAGCAUUAAACACUUAACGCGUGGUCCAGCAUGUGGUGGAUGCUUAGUUAUUUGUUGCUUUCUUUCUUUUUUUCUUCCAUGUUGUUGAGUUUUCUCCCUCAGGAUAGUACUUAAAUGAAAUUCUGCUGCUACUACGUAAGUCAAGUUCACAGCAAGAAUCAUGGUAGGGAUCAAAACCUGCUGAUUGAACUUAGAAGAGCUCUUGAAGAACCUAUCUGUGAGAUCCGAGCACUAAGCCAGUAAAUUAUCCAGAAAUGGAAUUACUGAUUCAAGCAAGGAGGAUACAUGUUGCCAGACUGUCCCAGAAAGGAUUGUAUCUGACACUCGCUGCUAUGAGGAGAGUUCCAGAAAUGACUCUGGAAUCAGAAGGAACAAAGUGCACAUCCAGACGCACUGUCCUCCAGGCCCCAGCUUCCUGGAUCUUACUCUACUAGUGGAAACCAGUUGAAAGCCAGGGAGCAAGGCACCCUUUGAUGCAUUCCGUGUGGGUUAAUCUCCGAGAUCACUGAGCAGGCUGGAAAAGGAUCCACCUCCCUGAUAAAGUGCCGUGGAAGGUAGCAGAAUGUAUCCAAAAUGCUUGGGUCCUUGCCCCAACAUGGGAGAUCAGAAUGGAGUUCCUGGAUCCUGUCUUCUGCCUGGCCCAAACCUGGCUGUUGUGGCCAUUUUAGGGAGUCCACAUUUAUUUACCAAGUUAGAAGCCUGGAAGGAAUUUGCGUGUAUGACGUGGACAUGACACGGAUCCAGAACAUCCAGAUACGAUGGUCUUCUUCACUUUCUGCUAGCCUUGUAAACAGUGCCCAGUGCUGACCCAGCGACUGCUAUCAGUGUAAGAACACAAAGGAUGCCCAAGAUGGAGAAAGCCUGUCUUCAAAACAAAGCUAUGUAUAAAAGGAGUUUAUGAGACAGAGAGAAAGGCAGAUACCCAGGGCUUUGCUUAAGCCACUGGAUCCAGCUGCGCCUGAAGUCUCUGCAGAAUUCAAGUCAGCUGGAGCUGGAUCUGGACCAGACUGAAACCUGGAGUCCAGAACUCAACCCAGGCUUCUCAUUGUGGGCUCUUGCAAAGACACUGGUGCUGAGAGAUCAGAGACCUGGAGCCGAGUGGCUCCGUUACCCACUCAUUCUGUGACCCUGGACACUUGCUCUUUCUUUCUGCUUCAUCUUGAAAAGAUCAGAGAAUGCUUUCCAGAGAGCAGUUUGAAUCUCAUUUUCUGGAAAGGGUGUGCAUUAGCAAGAAGAUGGAAUUGGAAGCCUGAAUGAGGACUCAAAUUGAGGUACUUGGUGUGGGAUACAGCUAUCUUAGCAUGCUUCUUCUAUGGCAAACAGAUAUCCCUUUCAUCUAAUAAGAGUUGACUGUUGCCUUUUGUAUGUGGUAACAGACAAAAGUCUAAUUUUAUUCUUUUGAUAUGGAUAUUCAGCUUUUUCAUCACUAUUUAUUUGAAAAGCAGAAUCUCACACAUAUGAGAGAGAGAGAGAGAGAAAGCGAGAGAAUCUUUUAUCCAGUGGUUCACUCCCCAAAUACCCACUACAGCCAGGGCUGGGCUAGGCAGAAUCUAGGAUCCUGGAACUCUGAGUCUCCCAUGUGGGUGGCACCUGAACAAUCACCUGCCUCCCAGGAUGCAUUCUGCAGUGAGGUGGAUUGGGUGUGGGUGCCCCAAGUUACAGCCUAAUUUGUUGUGCCACAACACUCUUCUCAAAUUCUGUAACUUUAAGAUCAUGAAAAUAAGAAAAUACAUGUUGCUCCUGACAAAACAUAACCUUUGGGAUAUGAAAUAUAUUUUAAGGAAGUUGCUAUAAAGGCUUUUGGAUGUCCUUAGCCUAAAAUCCAUGAAGCGAAAUGAAGAAAUGACUCCAAAAUCCGACACAAGAAAAAUACGAUCUGCCCAUAGGCAUCAGUUGUAGAGCUGUCGAGCAGUCAUGGGGGGAGGUUUUUACCUGUAAACCUUAUGAAUUACUCUGUUUUUGUCAAUCAUAACACUAUAAUUUCUGCCGUGGGUUUAUUGUCAAGCCAACAAAUUUCUCUAUGGGUGGAAUAAAUAGGCUACAUUUAGAACUUCAAAGGGUUAUUUUAGGACAGCUGGAAGCAGGAGAAAAGGACUGUGAACUUCCUAUCUGUGUCUUCACACUUCCAAACUGUAGAGACACAUCUCCAACUGCCUCCUGUUAUUUCUCAUUGAGUGUCCCCAUAGUUACCUUAUUCUCAACAUUUAUUUUUCCCUGAACUAAACUUGCUUCCUCUGCCAACUUCCCUGUUUGGCUAAGGCCAAAACUGAUACUUGUUUCCUAGCAUGUACUAUAUUCUACUAAUAUAGCACAAGAAUCUCCAACUCAUUAACUGUGCAAAUGGUCACUCAAUGUCUUCUUUAUCAGUCUUCCUUAUUUGUUAUUUCUAAUAAGAUGUAAGUGCAAGUGUCUUGUUUCAACUUCUGGCAACUCUUUUUAAAUGUCAGCAAUUGCAAGAACUCUUUUUUUUUCCUCCCAACAAAAUCUAUUACUUAAUGAGUACAAAUUUUCUAAGUACAGCUUCAGGAAUAUAGUGAUUUUUCCUGCCAUUCUCACCCUCCCACUCCACCUCCUUCUCCCUCUCCCAUUCCCAGUCCCAUUCUCCAUUAAGAUUCAUUUUCAAUUCACUUUAUACACAGAAGACCAACUCUAUACUAAGUAAAGAUUUCAGCACUUUGCACAUACACACACACAUACAAACCAUUUGAGAACAAGUUUUACAGUUAAUUCUCUUAAAACAACUUACUGAGGACAGAAGUCCUGCAUGGGAAGUAAAUGCACAAUGACUCCUGUUGUUAAUUUAUCAAUUAGCACUCUUAUGUAUGACCUCAGUGAUCACCCAAGGUUCUUGACAUGAGCUGCCUUGGCUGUGGAAGCCUUUUGAAUCCACAAUCUCCAUCAGUAUUUAGACAAGGCCAUAAGCAAAGUAGUUCUCUCCUCCCUUCAGAGAAAAGUACCUCCUUUGCUAGCCACUUCUUUCCACUGGGGUCUCUCUCACAGAGAUCCUUCAUGUUUCCCUAGACAGGAAACUCAUAGCCAUCCUGUUAUCUAAUUGUUCAUUCAAGCCUAGGAAUUCUACUUCAGAGAUAGCUCUUGAAAGCUCUUGGCCAGUCCUUUCUUAUCACUAACAUGACCAUCAUCUCUUGUCAAAAUGUAGCACAACAAUAAUUCUCUUUAAAAAUUUUCACCGUGCUUCCACAUUCUCUUCAUUUUAUUCCACUUUUAUACUUCCUAAUACAUGAACAUCAACACAUUACUUCACUGUACAUGCACCUCUGUUAUCCUCAAGAUAAAAGGAAACGUCUGAGAAUGUAAUUCAAGAGCUUUGGCCAAAUCCCCCAAACAUUUCUCCAGUGUCUUUCCCUGGCUAAGUUCCAUCCACUGCAAUUACUGCAGAUGCCUUAUUCAUUUCCUGGUCUUGUAUCCUUCUUCUUCAUGUCUCCCUGCCUGUGUGCAGGCACUUUACAUGGACAUAAGUUAUUUUCCAUCUUUCCUGUCUGGAAACUAUCCCUCUUCAUUCGAAAUCCGGCUCACAUACUGUAGCAAAAUAGGUAAGAUUUUCUGAGUGCUUUCCAGAUUCCACACGCUGUGCUACAGUCUGAUUCAGGAGGUCUAGUGGAGAGGCUGGCAUUCUGCACUUCUAACAAGCACCUGGGGUGAUGCAGCAGGUGCUGAUGUGUGGCCUGGACCACAGUUUGAGUUUCAUGAAGCUAGAGUGCACUUUCUUUCUUUGUCUUGGUAAGUCCUUCUAAACCUGCACACUGAAAAUAGGCACCAUCCUUCUAGAAAAUGCUAGACUCUUUUCUGUCCAGUGAAAAGAGAGUGAUGCCCUUCUGUGUUCUCUGGCUCACUACCUGGAACAGAGCAGGAAUUCAACAAAUUCUCACCAAGUGAGUUUUACUGUUCAUUUUGUCCAAUAGAACAAAGCCUUUCUAAUGGAAUGUCAAAAUAUGCUGAAGAGUAUACAUGGCACAAUGAAACACAAUACAACCUAUAAACUAACAUCUUGAAAGCCUGUUCUAUGUGGAAGGAAUUUAGUACACGGAGUAGAGAAAAAAAUGAUGCAGUCCCUUCCUAAGGAUCCUACAGAGAAGCUAGGGAAACAGACCAGCUUCUAGAUCACUGUGCCACAUAGCACAGUGUGAUGCAUGGCAAAAAUUGCUGUAUCAGUGGUGAUCAUUCUAAAGAGGGAGCCAUUUCUACUUGAGUGUUUGGAAAAAUUCAUGAUCAUAUGGAUUGAGACUGGAGAAAAUAGAUGUUCAAUGGAACAUUGUGGAGGAAUAUAUUUCCAAUAAAGGGACUAGGAAAAAUAUGGGUCUCAAUGUAUUUAUGAGAGAGGGAGAAAGAGAAGGAGAGAUGGGGUGGGGGGAGGGGAGAUAGUUAGUUCUUAUUUGUUCACUUCACAAAUACCUGCAAUAGCCAGAAGUGGGAUGGGAUACAAACUGGGAGCAAGGGAUAUAAUUCAGGUCUUCAAUGUGGGAGGUAGGAAACCAGCGACUUGAGCCAUCAUCUGCUGUUUCUCAGGGUGGGCAAUAGCAGGAAGCUGGAGUCUGGCACCAGAACUGGGAAUCAAACACAGGCACUCUGAUAGGAAACUUGUGUGUCUUAACUAGUAGCUUUUUCUUUUUAUUUUCCUCACUAAAACUGACUUUAUUCAAUGGUGUUCCCAGACUCCACAUAUUCUUAAGCAUGUGUUGAUUCUCAGUGCAGCUCUUCCUUGUUUCUUUCCCUCAUUACUCCAGUCUCAGGUAAGUAUGUGCAAUAAUACUGUAAGGAUAUUACAGAAUCUCAGUUAAUUUACUUAAACAAUUUGAAAUGUAAUAGUCAUACUUCUGUUGAUGAUAAAUAAUAUGUAGCACUUCUCACAACUUAUUGAAAUAUAGCAAUAGCUUGGCACUGCAGCCCAGAACUGAUCAGUUGGUAAAAAUCAAUGUGAUCAGUAUGAUAGAAAGCAUGGCAGAGAAAAGAGUUGGCAGGAGAGUUGUGUGGGUAUGUGUAUAGGUCAAGAUCCUGACCUAUAUAGGUCUGGGAACCGAGAUCAGCUUUACUGCUCACUGUCUGUACGUCCUUGUGAAGAGCGGGGAGAAAGCUAGUGCUUUUUAUUUGUAAGGUUUUGUGAAUAUUGAUUGAGUCAAUGAAAGUUAAAUGGCUCAUAAUACACAUGCAGUGAUUGUUUGCAGUUAUUAUCCCAGCAUGCUUGGUAUAUAGAUAUGGCAACCAAAUUAUUUGUUGUUCAAUUCAGGCUCUUCUGAAAGUGAAAGGAGGAAUUUUCUGUAAUUACAGAGGGGCAACAGGCUUAGUUACCCUAAGUAUAACGUAUGUUUUCAGACAUGAAUUUAGGAAGGUGAGUUGGGAGUCAUUUAUUGACUAUUCAUCUCUUGGAAAUGUGAAAAAUUAGGUUUAUUCUUUAAAUAUUUGAAACUGAAACAUUUCCAUGUGUACCACCUGGUUAGGAAAUAAUAAUAAUAUUAUUUCCAGAGUGGCCCCUUUGCUCCAGUUCCCUAACCUGCAUCUUCAUUGAUCCUUAUGUUGAUUUUGUAAGGUGGAUAUUAUCCUUGAAUUCAUUGUAAGUGGCUGCCAUAGCAAAUUACUAUAGACAUGGUGGCUAGAAAUAACAGCAAUUUAUUUUCUCAUAAUCCUGGCUAAAGUGUGUAAUCAAGAUAUCUACACAGUCUUCCUUGUAAUGCUCUAUGGGAGAAUUAGAGCCUACAUAUUCCUUUGUUUUUCUAAUUUCUGGUGGAUUCAGGAGUUCUUUAGGUUAUGGUUGCAUCAGUCUAAACUCUGCCUCUACAGUCACUUUAAUUCCCUUCUUUUUUAGUGUGUCUUUUCCACAUGUCUGACCCCAAAUUCCCAUGUAAUUAUAUAUGUCUUAUAAUGACAUAUGUAGUUAUAUGAAGAACCCAUGGAGAAUAUACAGGUUAACUUCCCCUUUUCAAGAUCUUUGACUUAGUUAUCUCUUUUCCAAUAUAAUAUUCAUUCUUUUUUAUAUGAAGAAAUGUUUAUAAGUUCUGGGGCUUAGAAUAUUAACACAUAUUUUUGGGCCCACCAUUCAAUUUAAUACGAUUCACAUAUCAUAAGAGAGGAAACCAAAUCUCAAAAGAGUUCAUUCACUGAUUUGAGCUACAGAGGUAGCAAGAGAAUAUACCACAGUUGCAUGCCAUACCUCUCUGGCUUCAGAGCCCAUGUUUUUUUCAGCAAAUGCACCACAAUAUUGCUUAAAUACCAAAUUUAUAAUUAAAGUUUCAGGCUGGCAGAGUAUACUACCUUUAAAACCAGAAAACUAAAGUUCAUUGUAACAGCACAUGCUUACAGGAGGAUUAUUAUAUAAACCUAUGAAAGGAGGAGGUUAGACUCCCAAAUAUUACCUUAUAUGAAAAGCUGUGUGAGUCAAGAAUCCCAUCACAUGACACUCUCAAACUGAAAAUACAUGGAUGAGCAUCCUGAAACUUUUGAAAAUGGAAAAAUAAAAUAGAUAGCAUAGAAAAUAAUUUCUGAAAGUCUUAUGCAUUCCUGUAGAGUGUCUUAGUAUUUGGUGUAUAUCACAAGGAGCUACUCGUACCUGAGGUUGCAUUUGAUAUUUGUAUAGUACACAAAUAUAGUAUGUCUUUGUCACUGUGAUGGUUACUGUGCCACUGCCAGGGAGAAUCAGAUAACGCUGAUCAUACAAUGGAGUAGAUUCUGAAUAUUUAUAAAGGAUCUAUUCUGAGAUAUUGUUGAAUUUCUCAUUUUGCUAAAAUUUUUACCAUAUUUAAUUGCUUCUAUAAAACUUACACAGAGCAAAAAUAAUAUGCGUAAUCACAAGUAAAUUGCAACAAAGUAGGGCUGAGAUGUAGAUAUUGGGUGCUUGGCAGGCUUACUUGCUAUCUAAUUGAUAAAUUUCCAAACUUAGGAAGCACCAGUUCCUAAGAAGUGCCUCAACAAAACGUCUAAUAUGACAUGCCAUGAACUUUCAGGCCUGCUCCCAAACAGGAUGUGAACAUCGAAUUUGCAAGUGUCUGUCCUCUGGUGUAGCUUUGAGGUUCCUGGACUAGAUGGAUGUCGAACAAAAAUAAGUAAUAGUGAGCUCCAUCUAGCAAUGACUCAGUUCUUAAGAGGAAAGGAAACUAGGAAAUCCACAACAGGCUGAUAUUUGCCCUGUUUUAAUAGUGUCAUACCAGAAUUACAUGUCAUCAAAGCUCAAAGCAAGGGGAGCAAGUUUCAGUGCUAAGUUCCAUCAUAAUAAAGUGUGAAUCCUAAUCAAGAGACAGAUGCAGUGAGGUUUUAUUUUUCAGAUUUUAUUCCCACUAACUUUAUGAAAGCACACUGAGUGAUGUUAUUUUUUCUUUCUUUGGUAUCCUGUCCCACAUUGUCAGCCUGGAGAGUGAUCAGAGAGGACCAAAUCUCUCAGCAUAUCAGUUUCUGGGCAUGUAAGACGGGUGAGCAGGAGGUGGAAAAGAGCAUCAUGGCAGCUUUGAGUUUCUCAGGUUUCUUGGAACAAGAAUUAGCUCUCUUCUGAGAGUGUUCCAGUACGAAAUGAUCCAUUCCACUCUAAACAACUAUGUAGAAAACAUCCAGCACAUGAAUUUGGCUCAACAAAGACAAAUACAUCUCUUCUCUGUGACCAUCUCUGGACCUCCUGUGAUUGUGUAUCCACUCUCUGCCUUCAGGACACACUAUGCAUCCUUAGUGUAACAUCAGUUUUCUCUCUGCAUUACAAAUAUCUCCAGACUUGCCUCUUUUCUGUUAGGCUGUGAGAUUUGUAGCAUAUUGAAAGUGGGUUUGUUGCAUUCUUGUUGGUCAAAUUAAAUCAUAUGUUGUCUAUUCUCAAUGCCUACUGUAUAUCUGAUGCAAAGCUGUUACACAAUAAAUGUUUGCUAGAGGCAGGCAUUUGGUGAAAUGGUUAAGACUGCUAUCUGGCAGCUUGGCUCUGCUGCCAAUUCCAGCUUUCUUCUAAUGCAAACCUUGAGGGCAGUAAAUGAUGCUUCAAAUAGACAGGGCCCUGCUAUUCAUGUGCUAGUUGUGAAUUGAGUUGCUUGGUCCAGGCUUUGGUCUGGCUCACCCCUAGCUAUUGCAGGUGUUUGAAGAAUGAAGCAGCAAAUGGAAGAUUUCUAUCUCUCUCCCUUUCUCUUUGUAUUUUGAAUGAAUAAAAGUUAAAAGAAAGUUUGCGGAAGGAAUGACUGAAGACAUAGUUAACAAGAGAGUAAUAGUAUCUGGAGGAAGUCAUUUAGAAAAAACAGAUAAUGGGUGAUGAUGGGGGAUGAACAGGGGAACACACAGAAUAACAGGUUCGUUCGUUCUUUCUUUCUUUCUUUCUUUCUUUCUUUCUUUAGAUUUAUUUAUUUGAAAGGCAGAGUUACAGAGAGGCAGACAGAGAGAGAGAGAGAGAGAGAGUCUUCCAUCCGCUGGUUCACUCUCCAACUUGCCACAAAGGCCAGAGCUGGGCUGAUCCAAAGCCAGGAGCCAGAAGCUAGGAGCUUCAUCUGGGUCUCCCACACGGAUGCAGGGUCCCAAGGACUCAGGCUAUCUUCCUCUGCCUUCUCAAGUCAUAGCAGAGAGCUGGAACAGAAGUGGAGCAGCUGGGACUUGAACCAAUGCCCAAAUGGGUUGCUGGCAUUGUAGGCAGAAUCUUUACCAGCUAUGCCACAAGUGCUGGCCCCAAUACCAGGUUCUGGUUGUAUUUCUUUUAGUUUCCAAUGCAUACAUGCAUGUACAUUCACACAGCAUGGAAAAGUAGGCAUUUCUUAGUGGAAGGACAUCUAAGUAAAGAAACAGACAGCUCAUGUGACAAGGAGUGAAGGUCUCUAUUUUAUUGGAAAUAUAUGGGAAUAACCUUACCGAGGGAGAAGGUUCAUCUCUCCCUCAAAGCUGCAGCAAAAGUAAUCUGAAGAUGCUUGAACAUGAUGGAAAGAUAUGAACAAGGGUGCAUAGUCUGGACUUGGAGUCUGUUAAAAAGUAUGAGUGCCAGAAUGAUGUUUUUUCAUUUCUUUCUUUUUUUCUUUCUUUCUAUUCUAGCCUCAACUCUGAGCAACUCAGAACAUAGAGUCCAGACUUUCUAACAACUUCAUUUUUAAAUGGUUCUGGGUUAGGACACAAAUUCCAUGACUCCAUGGGGUUCAGAGAGAGACAAAUGGUGAGAAUAGGCACUGCUGUGUCUUCUUGGGUUGUCAAAGUGCUUUUCUUGGAGGAACUCUCAAAUUAAUGACUCACAGAAAGUGAGCUGGGGGAAAUAUUUGAGUUUCUCAUGCAAAUCCUCAGGUAGCCCACCUACCUCGUCUGCUUGCUAAUCCUUUCAGCACAUGGAAAAAUAGUACUGAGGCGGUGUUUGCAGUUGUUAUGAGAAAUCUUGACUCCAAAUGAGUGAGUCCCUUAUGUCAAAGAUCUCUUUGGAAUCUAUGUACUUAUUCCUUUAAGGCUUCUAUUGCUCAAAAACAUUUGUAUAAAGUUCUACCUUAGACUGGACUUCAGAAACUCUGAAAAUCGGCCAGCACCACGGCUCAAUAGGCUAAUCCUCCGCCUUGUGGCGCCGGCACCCCGGGUUCUAGUCCCGGUCUGGGCGCCGGAUUCUGUCCCGGUUGCCCCUCUUCCAGGCCAGCUCUCUGCUAUGGCCCAGGAGUGCAGUGGAGGAUGGGCCAAGUGCUUGGGCCCUGCACCCCAUGGGAGACCAGGAGAAACACCUGACUCCUGCCAUCAGAUCAGCGUGGUGUGCCAGCCAUUGGAGGGUGAACCAACGGCAGAGGAAGGCCUUUCUCCCUGUCUCUCUCUCUCACUGUCCACUCUGCCUGUGAAAAAAAACCAAAAAACAAACAAAAAACAAAAACAAAAAAAACAAAACAAAAGAAAACCAACAAAAACAAAACAAAACAAAAAAAGAAAGUCUGAAAAUCACAGUAUAUUUUCGGUUCCAGACUAAUUUAGUGGACUUACAUGGAAUAGAGUUGAUUACUUGCAUCCCAUCAUCUAUCACCUGGAAAUAGGAACCUAUUUAAAGAAUUAUUUUUUUAUCUGAAAGGCAGAAACACAACACACACACUCACACACACUCACACUCACACACAUGCCUCUCAUCUGCUGGUUCAUUCCUCAAAUGUGUGACACAGCUGCAGAUGGGCCAGGUGCAAGCCAGGAGCCAAGAACUCAAUCUAGGUUGUUCAUGAGACAGGAAGGGACCCAAAUACCAGAGCCAUCACAUGCUGCCUCCCCCGGGAGAGCACUAGCAGGAAGUUGGAAUUGGAAACAAAGCUGGAACAUGAACCUAGACACUCCUGUGUAGGAACUGACAUCCCAACAGGCACCUUAAUCACUAUCAUGAAUGCUUACUCUGCAAUCUAUCUUUUGUUCGGGGGUAAAAAAAACAAACAAACAAACAAACCUGUGUCCAUUUCAUGUUAUUCCUGAUAGAAUUGUCCCUCCAAAGGUACCUCCUUCUCUGAAGCAGGCCAACAGAAAAUUCACUUCAGUGACCUCUGUGAUUCCAGUAUGGCAAGGGCUGUAUCAACAGUUAGGACCACACAAAGACACAACCAAAACCAGCAAAAGUACUGGGCUACAUAAUCAGAAGUCAGCUUUAGAAUUUGGAUGAGAACAGCAGAGUCAAUCCAGAAAAUUAUCUGGAGAGGAACUCAUCAAUUUAAACCUAGAAUCCCAUUUGGCUUGCUCUGCCUAUGGAAGAAUUUGAUCCAAGCUAAAUAGGGCAAAUCCCCAGGAUAUUGGCAGACUCCUUUCAAAAUUUACCCUUAAUCCCUUAAAUCAAGGAUUGAUAAGGACAUUCUGAUAAAGUGGAAUACUCAUGCUCUAAUACUUAGGGAGUAGUCAAUUGUCUCUUAAGUGAGAAGGAAAGCUGAGGCAAUAGGAGAAUUCAUUUUGUAAAAUGGGAUUGGAAAGAAUUGCAUAUUUUGAUUUUUUACUUGCUGUAGUUGCCACUAUGUUAACAGUUGUGCCUUGGCAGAGACUCAGGGGUUUAAAGAAAGCCCAGGGUUUGUUUCUCUAGAAAUCAUAGAAGAAACAAAAGAAAGCUGUUUUCAUAUACUAGAGUGAGUUUGCCAGCAAUUAUGUUUUGUAAAAAAUAAAUAAUGCAUUCUGUUUCCAAAAGGCCCUGACAAACUGAGAUAGAAAAAAAAAUAAAAUCUUUCCUAUGGUUUUAGGGUGGCGAGUUUCAUGACGGAAAUAAAGUGAGUCUGUGUUCUCUAAGUAAUUUAUUAGCGCAUCUUGGCACAGCAGCACUAAUGGGCUUGCUGCCAGGUAUUCCGAGCUGCAGUUUGUCAUGUCUGACUCUUUAGUUCUUUCAAGCAAUUGAAGAAAUGGCCUUCUGCAGGCUGUCAGUGACAGAUUCUAGCUCACUCACAUAGAUAAAGCUCAAUUAGCUUCUGGAAAAAAACAUCUUUUAAAAAUGCAAUGAGCUGCACCAUGAAAGAUAGGUAGACAACGGCAUCCAAAACAAAAUAAAAUGUUACUGUUGAGCGAAGAACGUGUCCACAAUGAGCAAGUGUGUAGUCAUCUUAAUGGACAGUUCCUUCCACUGAAAACAAAGAGGUGAUCAUUUCUAACUACUUCAAGUGUUGGGAUAGAUCUUUGCUUUAGAAGUGUGAUAAGGCUGGGAAUCCUGACGAAGUUAGUAUGUCACUCAUUCAUACAUCAUUCACUCAUGACUAAGACCCAUACUCCAUAACUUGCCAUGAAUUCUAGCCUAGAAUACAGGUAUCAAUAUAACCUCUCACUGGGUGAAGAUAGCCCUUGAAUAUGUUGUUUAAUCCAUGCAGUAUUUUAAGAUUAGGGCAUUUCAAUGCAUGAAAUUUCAGGCUUUUGGCAUCUCUUAAAAUAUUGAAACAGCUGGAGAUCUGGAUGUGUAUUCCUUUGGAAAACAAACCUGUCUUAUGCUAAAUAUCUACAGCAUCCUAAAGGAGAGUUAUGGCUUUCUCUGCUCACCCCAGAGCCCACAGGCUUGACUCAGUUAUUUAAGUACCUGCCUUUCUCUGAUUUAGAGAGGCGCCAAGUUUGGAGUUGGAGAUUGCAAACCUAUCAUCUCCAACGGUAACUUUGAGGGCUUCCUUCAUCAAAAGUACUUAAGAUUCUUGGGUGGGCAUUUGGUAAAGAGGUUAAGACAUUAUUUGGGUUAUCCACAUUCCAUAUUGGAAUGUCUGGGUUAGAGUCCCGGCUCGACUCCUGAUUCCAGCUUCUUGCUGAUGCACAUCCUGCGAAGCGUAGUGAUGGUUCACGUGGUUGUGUCCUUGCCACCCAUCUGGGCAACCUUGAUUGUGUUCCUGACUCCUGGCUUUGACUUGACGCAGCCUUGACUGUUUUUAGUAUUUAGAGAGUGAAUGAGUAUAUGGGAGAUCCCUGUCUUUUGACUUUCAAAUAUGUAUGUGUGUGUGUGUGUGUGUGUGUGUCUAUCUAUCUACUUAUCUGUCUGUCUGUCUAUCUAUCUAUCUAUGCUUCAUGGUGGAGGCCUUCUGGGGAAGCAGGUUAAACUGCUUCUGUGACUCUGGCAUCCCAUAUAAGAGUGCUUGUUUGAGUCCUGGCAGCUUUGUUUCUGGUCCUGCUCCCUGCUAGUGUUCUUGGGGAAGUAUCAGAUGAUGGCUCAAAUACCUGAGCCCUUGCCAUCCAUAUAGGAGACUCAGAUGGAGUUCCUGGCUCCUGACUUUGGCAUUGCCCAGCUCCAGUUGUUGCAACCAUUUAGGGUGCAGAUUUUCUCUUUCUCACUCUGUAUCUCUGUCUGUAACUCUGCUUUUCAAAUAAAUCUUUAUUCUUAAAAGAGCUUAAGACUCUUGUUAAAAAUGAAGACUCUAGGGUUCAUGCCCCAGAUGAAAGAAUAAAAAUAUAUGUAAAACAUGUUGAUUCUGAAACAAAUGAUCAGACUCACUUGUCUCAAAGACCAUAUAGAAUUAUAGUCAUUAAAAAUGGAAGCUUUAAUAUUAUAAAUGUGCUUUUGUUAGGACACUAUAUAGUCAUAUAUUCCUUUUGUAAUUACUCUACCUGACUCUUAAUGGCUACAUUUCCCCUGGAAACAUCAGCUAACCAAAAAUUGUUCCACUGAGGAAAACUCAAGUGAUUUAUUGUUGGUCACUGACUUAGGCCAAAAUUUCAAUUUGGAGAUAAAAAUCCACUACAUUUUAUGAACUAAUUUGUUCUCUAUGCAAGUGGUUGAACUUGAUAGCUAUAUUUGUUUCUGGCACAGCUAAAUCAUAAUUACAGGAAAUAGUUAGCUCUGGAGCUAAAAUUCAAUUGGCACAAGGCCUAAAGAAUUAAUAAAAACACUUUAUUCAUUCCUUCCCUUCCCCCAAGCAUACUUCUUGAUGUUUAACAGUCCUUAGCCAGGAAGAGUCUGUAAUACACAUCACAAUAAAAAACAUAAUCUCUCGCUUUUGUAUAGUGUUUUAGGGUUUACAAAGUAUGCUCAGAUACAUUAUUCUCUUGGAUUCUCUCUGCCACCCUGUGAGAGGAGACCAAUGAAGAAAGGGGGACUGAGUUUGUGCUGCAAAUGGUUAUACAGUGAGGAACAGACCCUUAGGGAUUACAAAUUCAGGUCUGCCUUUAUUCAAUUACAUGAAACUCACAUUUGCAGCACAGAACCUGCCACCUAUUAAAAUAUCCUUGUGGAUUUACCCCAGCGGGGGGCCACACCUUGUACAGCCCUAAAGAGCAUGAGCUGAUUCUUUUCAGUUGCUUCAAAGGGCCCUCACAGUAGCUCCUGUUCACUGAGAGAAUCCUGCAAAUACUGUGUUCUUUUGGGCUUUGCAUAAUUUGCACUGUUGGUUUAAGGUUAUAAUCCUUUUUUGGAGUAGUUAUUUUUGUAAUCAUCCCAUCUCUUUAUUUCCUUUCUCUACACAAAAAAUUUGAUUAAAAAAAUCAGAUCUGACCACCUCUGCAAGAUCUCAACUUUUCGUAGUCAUCUAACAUUCUCCCUCCAUUCCAGAGACACAUAACUCUCUAACAUUCUCCCUCCAUUCCAGAGAUGCAUAACUCUCUUUAAACCAUGACCUAGACAUUUGGGAUCUGCAGAAGUUUUAGGUGGACUUUGUGCUUUCCUUGGCUUUUAGGAGGGUCCUCAUUUUAAAAAUGUGUAUAUUGUGUGGGGGGUUAUACCUAAGUUAAUGACUGAGAUUGAAAAGGAAAUGACUGGAUGAAAACUUGAAUGAUAAUCAUGAUGAAACAUUAAUUUGAAAAGUUCCCAAAUUGCUGACUAUAUGGGCUAUAAACAUGAAGCAAGCUGGCAACCAGCUGAUAAAUCAUCCCUCUCAUCUUCACCUCCCAAGCAAUAUUGACCCCUCUUCAAGUUCUGUCUUGUGCCUUGGCAAUUAAAAACAAAAUAUUCUUUAUUAUUAUUAAAAUAUUUUCACUUUAUUUGAAAGGCAGAGAAACAAAGACAGAGAGAUUUGCAUCUGUUGGUUCACUGCCUAAAUGCUCUCUGCUGCUAAGACUGGGCCAGGCUGACAUCAGGAGAUUGGGUCUCCCAUGUGGGUAACAGAGACCCAGCCUCUUGAACCAUCAUCUUCUGUCUCCCAAAGUGCAUUAGCAGGAAGCUGGAAUUGAAAGUGGAGCCAAGACUCAAACCUAGCACUUUGAUAUGGGAUGUGGGUGUCACAAACAUCAACUUAAUGGCUGUACCAAAUGCCCAUUCCUAGGAUGCUCUAUACAGAUGACUUUUUGGAGUCAGGUGGUCCUAAGCCAUGUUAGAAAUGCAAGUCAUUAACUUUUUAACUUUCAUUGAGUUAGUAAAUGUAAUUUUAUCACCUGUGAAAAAUGAUUUUUGUUAGAACUGAAAUCAUACAUGGUAAGCACUGAGAAAUAUGCUCAGUAUAUUUUUCAACACAAGGACUGUUUGCUAUAGGAGGGUUAUUAAUAGGUUGUUCAUGUCUGCCAACACCCUAGCUAAAAUAAAUUCAUUAGGGGCUGGCGUUGUGCCGUAGCAUGUGAAGUUUCCACCUGCGAUGCCUGUAUCCCAUGUGGGUACUGGAUCAAAUCCCAGCUGGUUCAUUUCAGAUCCAGCUCUCUGCUAAUGUGCCUGGGAAAGUAGUAGAAGAUCCCCCAGGUGCUUGGGUCCCUGCACUCACAUGGGAGACCAGGAAGAAGCUCCUGGCUUCAUCCUGGGCCAGCCUCAGCAGAUGGAGAAUUCUCUCUCUCUCUCUCUCUCUCUCUCUCUCUCCUCUGUAACUCUGCCUUUACAAAGAAAUAAUGUGAGUCUUUUAAAAUUUUUUCAUUAUUUCUUCAAGAAAAAAAGAACUGAGAACAGAAUAAUGAAUAGGAAAAUCGGAUGGGUUGUGAGGGAGGCAGAUCAAGCCCGCAUCCCCAUUAGUGGACAUAGUUUUAAGGUAGCCAUAGGAGUGCAUAAAGGAAGGAGCCCCAGGACAGGCAGGAACAUUACAAGCAACAUGGGGGCACAAUGGAGGGACAGAGUGGUUCUUCACACACACACACACACACACACACACACAGUGAUGAUGAAGAACGGGGAUUGUGUAGUGAGACUUAUCUGAGGUAGUCUUCUGGUUCCUAACACCUAAUAUCAACAUAACUUCUGGAUUAAUAUCAACAGUUUCCUUGCUUGUGAAAUUUAAAUGAUUUUGAAUGGCUGAGUAUUUGGCCUAGCAGAUAAGAUGCACUUGGGAAGCUUACAUCUCAUAUUGCCUCGCCUAGGAUUCAGUCCUGGCUCUGCUGACAAUUCGUUCUCUGAUAAUUUGCACCCUGGAAGGCAGUAGCUGAUGGCUCCAGUGCUUGUGUUCCUAUUACCCUUGUGGAAGGCUUGUACUGAUUUCCUAGUCUCCAGCUCCAUCCUUAGCCCAGCCCCUGCAAUUUGGGAGUGAGCCAGCAGAUGGUAAAUCUCUGUCUCUUGUGUAUCUGUUUCUGACUUUCAAGUAAAUAAAAUUUGAAAAUUAAGUUAUUUUGAAUUUGCAGGGCUGUUGAAAGAGUUUAAAAUAACAUAUGCAAAGUAUCUAUUACAUAUUGUGUAUGCAGUUUGGUAACUUUAAAAACUGACUUUUUUGCAACUUUCUUGUGGACUGCUUCAAUUCAGAGAACUGAAAGGGUACUCAGAGUAUUUCAAAAAGUACAUGGAAACAUGAGAUUUAAAGAUAAAUUUAUUUUGGUCCAAAACAUUAUAAAAUCUGUGCAUUGUUUUCUCAUAGUAUUCAUUUUCCAUGAAUUCUUGGAAGAUCCAUCACAAGCUUGGAUUUUAAAAUUUUCUUUGUACUGGAAUAAAAUCUUCAUUUUAAUUCCAUUUCCAUGAACUUUUUGAAGUCUCUUGUAUGUAUAUUUGUGUGUGUGUGUGUCUGAUAACUAAUAUUUAUUAAGUACAUUCUAUGUGCCAGAAAAUACAGUAAUGAAUUUAGAUGCAUGCUUUUUCAUUCGAUUCACAUAAUGAUACUAGAUUAGUUUACAGAGGAAGCAAUUGAGGCACAUGGUUUCAUAAAUUGUCCAAGGCCACAUAGGUGUUAAGUGGCAUAUGUGAUAUCCCAAACUAGAAAGCCUGGCUCCAGAGCCUGCUUUGUGAAGUAGCUUUGGUAAGAAAGGCAUUUUAACUAAAGGAAACUGCUCUUCGCUUUCUUAGGACUACGGUUGAAUUGCUGGAGUCAGCACACUUUUUGCCAGGGAAAGCUGUUUCUGUGGAUGUCAAGAGGAAAAUGAGGUUAUAGAUCUCUUCCUGUCUGGGAUGUAUAUUUAUUAUAUAGUAGGAUGUAAUCUAAAUUAUUCACAUUUUAUAUUUUAUGGAAAUUUUAGCUUCUGUAAAUCUGACUUAGAUUUCAGUUAGAGUUAUGUGCAAUAAAAUUCAUAUAAAAUCCAUUUAAAAGAUUAAUGAUAGAUGUAUUACAGAAAAUUAAGUCUGGGAAUUUUAUUUUUUUCAAGUUUCCUAGACCUUUCAGUUGCAUUUGCAGAGAUUGUCUUGGUGACAAAAUCUACUCUAUAUGUGCUGGGCAGUGGCAAGAAUUAAGUGUCUUUCUUUGUGGUCCUAUGGAUAUAGAACCUUUCUUGAGAAGAGGAGGUCAAUUACUUCUCUUGGAGAUAGUUUCUUCUAAGGUUUCUGUAAUAAAUUCUCCUUUUCACACUUGAAGCAGACAUCCUGCAGUGAAAUCUCCCACAGGAAAAUCAUAAAGCUCUAUCUGAGCCUCAGAUGCAGAAUAAGAAUAAUACAUUUUAUUUAACAGGUGGUCAUUAAAAUUAAAAAAAUAUCAGACAAGUGAAAUGACAAAGGCAGGUCUUUGGCUGGAUGUUGAAAGAUAAACAGAUAAAUGUGUAGAGAAACAAAUCAACACAGCCAGCCAGGAUUAUUGCAGAGUCAUACACUUUGUUAAUGGAUUUAAUACAAGGUGAUUUGCCAGGCAGAACACCUUCUUACACGUAAUUUACAGUAUCUUUGUGGCCAGUGCUGUGGCAUAGUGGGUAAAGCUGCCACCUGCAGUGCUGGCAUCCCAUAUGGAUGCCUGUUUGAGUCCUGGCUGCUCCUCUUCCAAUCCAGCUCUCUGCUAUGGCCUGGGAAAGCAGUAGAGGAUGGCUCAAGUCCUUGGGCCCCUGCAUCCGCGUGGGAGACCAGGAAGAAGCUCCUGGCUCCUGGCUUCAGAUUGGCCCAGCUCUGGCUGUUGUGGCCAACUGGAGAGUAAACCAGUGGAUAGAAAACCUCUCUCUCUCUCUCUCUCUCUCUCUCUCUCUC